rnacentral:rRNA from 1 species
CGGGGUGCACCAGGCGCGAAAACUUUACAAUGCGGGAAACCGUGAUAAGGGGACACCGAGUGCCAGCAUCAUAUGCUGGCUGUCCGGGUGUGUAAAAUACACCCGUUAGCAAGGGCCGGGCAAGACCGGUGCCAGCCGCCGCGGUAACACCGGCGGCCCGAGUGGUGAUCGUGAUUAUUGGGUCUAAAGGGUCCGUAGCCGGUUUGGUCAGUCCUCCGGGAAAUCUGACGGCUCAACCGUUAGGCUUUCGGGGGAUACUGCCAGGCUUGGAACCGGGAGAGGUAAGAGGUACUACAGGGGUAGGAGUGAAAUCUUGUAAUCCCUGUGAGACCACCUGUGGCGAAGGCGUCUUACCAGAACGGGUUCGACGGUGAGGGACGAAAGCUGGGGGCACGAACCGGAUUAGAUACCCGGGUAGUCCCAGCCGUAAACGAUGCUCGCUAGGUGUCAGGCAUGGCGCGACCGUGUCUGGUGCCGCAGGGAAGCCGUGAAGCGAGCCACCUGGGAAGUACGGCCGCAAGGCUGAAACUUAAAGGAAUUGGCGGGGGAGCACAAGGGCGAAUUCGCG